GAUGAACGCUGGCGGCGUGCUUAACACAUGCAAGUCGAACGAUGAAGCCCAGCUUGCUGGGUGGAUUAGUGGCGAACGGGUGAGUAACACGUGAGUAACCUGCCCUUAACUCUGGGAUAAGCCUGGGAAACUGGGUCUAAUACCGGAUAGGAGCGUCCACCGCAUGGUGGGUGUUGGAAAGAUUUAUCGGUUUUGGAUGGACUCGCGGCCUAUCAGCUUGUUGGUGAGGUAAUGGCUCACCAAGGCGACGACGGGUAGCCGGCCUGAGAGGGGGGCCGGCCACAGGGGGGAUAAAGACGCGGCCAGAGCACCAGGGGGGGGCCGGGGGGGAGAUUUGGCAAAUGGGGCGAAAGCCGGAUGCAGCGACCCCGGGUGGGGGAGGACGGCUUUCGGUUGUAAACCCUUUUGCGGUGGGGAAGAAGGGAAGGGCAGGGUACCUGAAAAAGAGACCCGGGCAACCUAGGCC
rnacentral:rRNA from 1 species